GCCAAAUGAUGUAAAAUAGAUAACAUUAGCACACUGUGCAAAGAUGACUCACAUCUAUCACCCAAUGCUGAUGGCU